rnacentral:rRNA from 1 species
AGUGAACGCUGGCGGUAGGCCUAACACAUGCAAGUCGAACGGCAGCACAGUAAGAGCUUGCUCUUACGGGUGGCGAGUGGCGGACGGGUGAGGAAUACAUCGGAAUCUACUUUUUCGUGGGGGAUAACGUAGGGAAACUUACGCUAAUACCGCAUACGACCUACGGGUGAAAGCAGGGGAUCUUCGGACCUUGCGCGAUUGAAUGAGCCGAUGUCGGAUUAGCUAGUUGGCGGGGUAAAGGCCCACCAAGGCGACGAUCCGUAGCUGGUCUGAGAGGAUGAUCGGCCACACUGGAACUGAGACACGGUCCAGACUCCUACGGGGGGCAGCAGUGGGGAAUAUUGGACAAUGGGCGCAGCCUGAUCCAGCCAUACCGCGUGGGUGAAGAAGGCCUUCGGGUUGUAAAGCCCUUUUGUUGGGAAAGAAAAGCAGCAGGUUAAUACCCCGCUGUUCUGACGGUACCCAAAGAAUAAGCACCGGCUAACUUCGUG